rnacentral:rRNA from 1 species
CACGUAGGGCGCGAGCGUUGUCCGGAAUUAUUGGGCGUAAAGAGCUCGUAGGCGGCCUGUUGCGUCCGCUGUGAAAGCCCGGGGCUUAACCCCGGGUCGCAGUGGAUACGGGCAGGCUAGAGGUAGGUAGGGGAGAAUGGAAUUCCCGGUGUAGCGGUGAAAUGCGCAGAUAUCGGGAGGAACACCGGUGGCGAAGGCGGUUCUCUGGGCCUUACCUGACGCUGAGGAGCGAAAGCGUGGGGAGCGAACAGG